UACAGAGGUCUCAAGCGUUGUUCGGAUUCAUUGGGCGUAAAGGGAGCGUAGGCGGCUUUGCAAGUCGGGUGUGAAAGCCCUCAGCUCAACUGAGGAAGUGCGCCCGAAACUGCAGAGCUUGAGUACCGGAGAGGAUGGCGGAAUUCCCCAAGUAGAGGUGAAAUUCGUAGAUAUGGGGAGGAACACCGGUGGCGAAGGCGGCCAUCUGGACGGAUACUGACGCUGAGACGCGAAAGCGUGGGGAGCAAACAGG
rnacentral:rRNA from 1 species